AUUGAACGCUGGCGGCAUGCCUAACACAUGCAAGUCGAGCGGAUGAAGGGAGCUUGCUCCUGUAUUCAGCGGCGGACGGGUGAGUAAUGCCUAGGAAUCUGCCUGGUAGUGGGGGAUAACGUCCUGAUACGGGCGCUAAUACCGCAUCCGUCCUUAUGGAGACGUUGGGUGUCUUCGCACCUCACUCUAUCAUUUGUGCCUAGGUCGGAUUAGCUAGCUUGUGGGGUAAAGGCCUACCAAGGCGACGAGCCGUAACUGGUCGGAGAGGAUGAUCAGUCACACGGGAAGUGAGACACGGUACAGACUCCGACGGGAGGCAGCAGUGGGGAAUAUUGGACAAUGGGCGAAAGCCUGAUCCAGCAAAGCCGCGGGUGUGAAGAAGGUCUUAGGAUGGUAAAGCAAUUUAAGUUGGGAGGAAGGGAAGUAAGUUAAUACCUGGCUGUAUUGACGGUACCAAGAGAAUAAGCACCGGCUAACUUCGUG
rnacentral:rRNA from 1 species